CCUUUAAGAGCCACAAAAUAAUAAUUUGCCAAGAGUGGGAUUGGGCCGGGACUCAACGUGCUGCAUUGUAAGGCAAAUAUUUUCUACCGUACCGGCACAAAGGUACCGGGGGUCGGUUCCUCGAGAUAUUCAUACACUUCCUGUGAAAGAGCCAAUUCCAAGUAUUUGAUUAUUUCUGGUCACUUCCUUCCUAUUUAUGAUUGGUUAGUUGCACAAACAACAAAGGUGAUUGGUGC